UACGGAGGUGGCAAGCGUUGUUCGGAAUUACUGGGCGUAAAGGGCGCGUAGGCGGUUCGUUAAGUCCUGUGUGAAAUCCCCCGGCUCAACUGGGGAACUGCACAGGAAACUAGCGGGCUUGAGUUCGGGAGAGGGAAGCGGAAUUCCGGGUGUAGCGGUGAAAUGCGUAGAUAUCCGGAGGAACACCGGUGGCGAAGGCGGCUCCUGGACCGACACUGACGCUGAGGCGCGAAAGCUAGGGGAGCAAACGGG
rnacentral:rRNA from 1 species